AACAAGGCGUACCUGCGGACCUGCGGAAGGAUCAUUACCGAGUCACGUGCUCAAACAACCCUUCUGUGGACCUGAAAUAAAACCGUUGCCUCGGCGGGCGGUCCCCCCCAAACCAACCCCACGUGGUGGGUUAGGGGAGACCAGACAGUCCGGUACGCUUAAGGCGUCCGGCGCCAGCCGCUGGCCCCAAACAAUUAAACUCUAGUAAUCUUUACCUUCUGAGUUUCAAUAUUUAAAAAU
rnacentral:misc_RNA from 1 species